rnacentral:rRNA from 1 species
GACGAACGCUGGCGGCGUGCCUAAUACAUGCAAGUAGAACGCUGAAGGAGGAGCUUGCUUCUCUGGAUGAGUUGCGAACGGGUGAGUAACGCGUAGGUAGCCUGCCUGGUAGCGGGGGAUAACUAUUGGAAACGAUAGCUAAUACCGCAUAAUAGUAGAUGUUGCAUGACAUUUGCUUAAAAGGUGCAAUUGCAUCACUACCAGAUGGACCUGCGUUGUAUUAGCUAGUUGGUGGGGUAACGGCUCACCAAGGCGACGAUACAUAGCCGACCUGAGAGGGUGAUCGGCCACACUGGGACUGAGACACGGCCCAGACUCCUACGGGAGGCAGCAGUAGGGAAUCUUCGGCAAUGGACGGAAGUCUGACCGAGCAACGCCGCGUGAGUGAAGAAGGUUUUCGGAUCGUAAAGCUCUGUUGUAAGAGAAGAACGAGUGUGAGAGUGGAAAGUUCACACUGGGACGGUAUCUUACCAGAAAGGGACGGCUAACUACGG